AAGCACUUCAUUUACAAUGAAGGGACACUAUUCUAGUUGGCCUGAAUUAAUUAAAUGGAAACAUUUGUAAAGAUAAAAUUCUUUAAAUAAAUAAACGAUAUGAGUUUAAACAAGGCCCAAAAUUAAGUUUACCACUGUGAAGGAUACUAUUUCUAUUUAAAAGUAACUUAAUUGUGUACCUUGUGUAUCAGGGCUUAUCCAAUUUAACAAUUUAAAUUUAUUCCCGAAACUAAAAGAGUUAAUAAAUAUUAUUUACUAGUUGCAUAUAGUAAUUAAAUUAUUUAUUAGAGACGAAAUGUCACCCGAUUUUAGUGAUACCUGGUUACCUAAGAAAUGAAUUUAAUUCAGUCACCCCUUGGUGUAAAAAUAGUCGGGGAUAAGCUCGACUUUAAACUACAAACACCUUCUUUUUCAUUCGUAGGCUUGUAAGCAGCCAUCUUGAAGGUGUUAUGACCCCAUCAUGAGAGUGUUAAAUUUUUUUAAAUUAGUUUAGUAAUAGGUAAGCUUAACUAACCAAUAAUAAGCAAUAUACUGAUAAGAUUAAUAAAAAUAUUAUUCAUUAAUUAUUUCCUCAAAUUUUUAGUUAAUAAACUCGGCAAAAUUUAUACUCGCCUGUUUACCAAAAACAUCGCCUAUUGCGUUUAUAAUAGGUACCGCCUGCCCACUGAUAAAUUUAACGGCCGCAGUAUCCUGACUGUGCAAAGGUAGCAUAAUCAUUUGUCUUUUAAUUGUAGGCUAGAAUGAAUGGCUGAACGUAGUAUAAUCUGUGUCAAUUAAAACACUUAACUUAAUCUUUAAGUUAAAAAGCUUAAAUGCCCCCGCAGGACGAGAAGACCCCAUAGAUCUUAAUAUAGGAAACCAUAAUUAUUUUUAGAAGAUUUUGUCUUAUGUUUGAGAUAUAUUUAGUUGGGGUGACGAGAAGUUCUAACACUUAUUUACACCCCGAAUAUGUAAGUUUAAAUGACCCGGCUAGCCGAUUAAAAAAUAAAGUUACCUUGGGGAUAACAGCGUUAUCUGCCUUUAGAGCCCUUAUCAAAAGGCAGGAUUGCGACCUCGAUGUUGGAUUAAGAACCUCUAUGUGAGCAGCCUCACAUGGGAGGGGUCUGUUCGACCUUUAAAUUCUUACAUGAUCUGAGUUCAAAUCGGCGUGAGCCCCAUUGGUUUCUAUCCGCGCACUCUUCCCCCUAGUACGAAAGGAUCGGGUGAAGCGGUAACUACCGCCCGCAAGAAUAACAUU
rnacentral:rRNA from 1 species